GUGUUAUAGUGUAGUAAUAUAUAUAUAAACCUAGGUUAAUAUAUUUGUUGAUUAAUAAACACACGCACACCACAAAGAAAAAAAGAAAAAAAAAAACCCUACCUAUAUAUAUAGAAUUUCCCUAAACCCUCUCAAAUAAUCAUCAGCCGUCACCAUCAUUUUUACUUUCCUAUUCGGAUCCUUCAUCAUCAGUCGAACAAGAAAAAAAUACACUUAGUCCUCUUCAUCAUUGGAUCAAUCAUCGAUUGGUGUUCUUCCUCUAUCAUCAUCAGGAUCACUGUAAGGAUUCAAGGGUUUUAUUAAUUUUGAAAUCCAGUUAAUUUUGCAGGUGGUGUUUGCAUGAUUUGGAGCAUGAGAGCGAUUUACACCCUUCUAGAUUAGUAUUUGGAGUUUUAUUUUAUUAGAUAAUCUAGAGGUUGUAUUUAAAAGAAAUGUAUUAGUUCAUUGUGCUAGUAUAAAUUAUGGGUUAUUUUUAGUAGUUGUUUUAGCCUGUGCGUUUAGAUAUAAGUUGUAUCUAAACGUCGCGGUAGCAUCCCUAUUUUCUGUAGUUUUGGAUUUGGGCUUCCGUAGUUAUAAGAUAUUUUUAAUUAAAUAAAUCCAUUUUUAAUGAAAAAUUUUAGUUAUGAAAAUGGGGGUGUUACAGUCGGUCAUCGACGUGCUCCUGAAGCAUGAGGACGAGCCCCCGGCUGCCUUGCUGACUAAGAUUUAUGCAGCGGCUCCUCCCCCAGAAUAGACCAGCGGGUGACUAAGAUCUAUGCAUCACUCGAGACCUGAUGUAGAUGGCGCACUCGGUCACCGACCUCUUCGUCCGGGCGAAAGACGGAGAUGACAUCCACCAAAAAGAGGUCGCUCCACUCAAAAAGGCCCUGGUAAAGCGGGACCCAAGAAUUAAAGAGCUGGAGUCCAAGUUGAAGAUAGUUGAGGAGACCGGGAAGGUGGCUCUAGAACGGGCCAAGCUCAGCGAGCGGCUCUUGGUGGACACCGUUCUGCUGGCUAAUCAUGUCUGUCGAGGACUUGAGACUGCGGAAGCCGUUCUCGCACUGCUAUGUCUAAGACACCGGUCGGCGAGGACCUGAUGUACACGUACUGGACUUGGGCCUUCACCAAGGGUCGCCGGGCGAUGCAGAAUGAAGUCUGGGCGACUCUUGAAGCUUCGGUCGAUGAAGAGGACCUUCCCAAGCUUCUGGUCGUACUUCCCGAGGACGUUCCCGACCCCAGGCCGGCUCCCUUCUUCGAGGUUACCGACCAAGCUUCGGGCUCAGCUGCCGAGGCCCCUCCUGGACAAGUGAGAGAGGUCGCCGAAGAGCGGGCCGCUGAGCAACCCAAGGGAGAGUGACUUUGCUGUAGUGCUAUCGGGAGCCCGGCCAUGUUGUGCAGGGUGAAACUUUGUUUAGAGAGCUUUCCGACCGUGACCUUUGGGUCUUUUAAUAUAAUAUAUUUUGCGAUUUGCACGCUUCAUU